UGUGCAUUCAAGCCACUUAACAGCAUCGUUAGGAUAAAUAAGUAUAGGUGGUAAGAACUUAAGGGUAGGUGUUUCAUCCCCAUCUUCUGUGAGAUGUAUCUUCAGAGAGCUUCCCCUGCCUGCAUGCCACGGUGGUCACAGUCACCCUGAGAUGGCUGCAGAGAGCCACAGAGCAGAUGGAUGCUGCCUCCCCAUUCUCCCCAAAACACUUCUGUUUGGAUUUUAAUUGACCUAAAAUGGAAGCCAAUGAGAUUUUAAUGACACUUGUUUUUUUUAUCCACAAGAAAAUCUAAGCCCAUGCCUACUAGCCUGGAAAAUAUUGUUCCUGCAAAGGUGCAUAAUUUUUUCCCCUUGACACCUUUCACCUGCUCCCACUGAACUAGGUAAACAGCAAAACUUCCCUUUAUAAAAAAGCCAGAUAUAUUUCUAAAACACUUGAAGAGGGGAAGGAAACCUAACAGUCAUUUUAGGAUCCCUCACGCAAACUGGCAUUUACAUUUAUCAGGGUUUUUUUAGCUUGCCACCCAUUAAGUGCUUCCUAGACUUUCUGUUGAUGUAACCAACAUUUUUAUGAGUGUUCUGGGACAGCAGCAGGGUUUUAAAACGUAACAGGAAGUCUAUGUGAAUCUCUCUCAUGCUGUUCUCUAUCAUUCUUCUCAGAACACCAUAAUAAAUAUUCUCCACUAUAACAACACAGAUCAGUUUGGUCUUCUUUUGCCUUUUUUUUCAGUAGCUGGACAAUUUUAAAGAGUAACAAGCAGCACAUUUGCAGCCAAGGUGAAGUUCAUUUCAACUUUAAAAAUACAUCAGCAUCUUUUGAUUCUUGUGUAUACAUAUACACAUACCCGUAUAUGCCGUCACAUACAAUGUCACUGCUCAGAUUUUUCUCCGGUCUGAGUGGUCCUGCAUCACAAUUUGCUUUGUCAUCACUAUGGCGUAACGUCACCUGUAAGAGCUGACACACAGGAACCACAGCACUGCCUGCAAACUGCUACACUAUGUCCUAUUGUAGCAUCAUUUUUAAAUAGCCACCUCCAGGCACUCAAAAAAUAAUAGAGCUAGACACAGCUCACUGCCUCUACAGUCUUGCUUUAAUGUUACAGAGUUGUCCAACAGUUACUCGUUCCAUAGAAAAAGUGCAUAGUAACAACUCAAAGCAUCAAAGCAUACAGGGAGGUGCUGCUUUCUGAAAUACUCUUUAUAACACAUAAUUUAAGCAGCAUUUGAGUACCUGCUAAUGAAACAACAUAGGCAGGAUAAACACCUGGAUCCCACUGGCUGUGCUCAGGAGGCCAAUCCAACAACUGCAUUUGUGAAUACUGUUUAUGUUUACAAGAAUUCAACAGAAUACACUAUUGAUGUCCUGAAGAGAUGACCAUUCUGAUUCAUCCAAUAUCUCUCUGAUGAAUCACACUCACUGAAAGGAGAACAAAAAGCAACUCCACCACCUACCAGGAGUUCAAUGAUGCGGCUUGAAGGAACAAGUGGAAACUUCCAACUAAGAGCUGAACUUUCUCACCCACAAAAACUCUUUGAGCCCUAGGUCUGCAUCAGACUGAGCAUAACAUUUUGUCAUGAAAAUAAGAGGACGAUGAAUUAGCCCUGAAGCCAGAAGGGGACAAGCAGUGAAAGCUGUUCAUUUUGGACAUUUUAUAUCUCCUGUCUUCAGCAGCUACCCCAGACACUUUGAUCUGAGCUGUGAGUGAACACACCGAGAGUUCCCUGUACAAGGUGACACUUCAGCACUUCAGAUCUGAUUCUAAAAUGUUCUUAUAAUAAACUGUGUAUU